GGUUAAGCGACUAAGCGUACACGGUGGAUGCCCUGGCAGUCAGAGGCGAUGAAGGACGUGCUAAUCUGCGAAAAGCGUCGGUAAGGUGAUAUGAACCGUUAUAACCGGCGAUGUCCGAAUGGGGAAACCCAGUGCAAUUCGUUGCACUAUCGUUAACUGAAUACAUAGGUUAACGAGGCGAACCGGGGGAACUGAAACAUCUAAGUACCCCGAGGAAAAGAAAUCAACCGAGAUUCCCCCAGUAGCGGCGAGCGAACGGGGAGCAGCCCAGAGUCUGAAUCAGCUUGUGUGUUAGUGGAACGGUCUGGAAAGUCCGACGGUACAGGGUGAUAGUCCCGUACACCAAAAUGCACAGGUUGUGAACUCGAAGAGUAGGGCGGGACACGUGGUAUCCUGUCUGAAUAUGGGGGGACCAUCCUCCAAGGCUAAAUACUCCUGACUGACCGAUAGUGAACCAGUACCGUGAGGGAAAGGCGAAAAGAACCCCGGCGAGGGGAGUGAAAAAGAACCUGAAACCGUGUACGUACAAGCAGUGGGAGCACCUUCGGGUGUGACUGCGUACCUUUUGUAUAAUGGGUCAGCGACUUAUAUUCUGUAGCAAGGUUAACCGUAUAGGGGAGCCGCAGGGAAACCGAGUCUUAACUGGGCGUUAAGUUGCAGGGUAUAGACCCGAAACCCGGUGAUCUAGCCAUGGGCAGGUUGAAGGUUGGGUAACACUAACUGGAGGACCGAACCGACUAAUGUUGAAAAAUUAGCGGAUGACUUGUGGCUGGGGGUGAAAGGCCAAUCAAACCGGGAGAUAGCUGGUUCUCCCCGAAAGCUAUUUAGGUAGCGCCUCGUGAAUUCAUCUUCGGGGGUAGAGCACUGUUUCGGCUAGGGGGUCAUCCCGACUUACCAACCCGAUGCAAACUACGAAUACCGAAGAAUGUUAUCACGGGAGACACACGGCGGGUGCUAACGUCCGUCGUGAAGAGGGAAACAACCCAGACCGCCAGCUAAGGUCCCAAAGUCAUGGUUAAGUGGGAAACGAUGUGGGAAGGCACAGACAGCCAGGAUGUUGGCUUAGAAGCAGCCAUCAUUUAAAGAAAGCGUAAUAGCUCACUGGUCGAGUCGGCCUGCGCGGAAGAUGUAACGGGGCUAAACCAUGCACCGAAGCUGCGGCAGCGACACUAUGUGUUGUUGGGUAGGGGAGCGUUCUGUAAGCCUGCGAAGGUGGCCUGUGAGGGUUGCUGGAGGUAUCAGAAGUGCGAAUGCUGACAUAAGUAACGAUAAAGCGGGUGAAAAGCCCGCUCGCCGGAAGACCAAGGGUUCCUGUCCAACGUUAAUCGGGGCAGGGUGAGUCGACCCCUAAGGCGAGGCCGAAAGGCGUAGUCGAUGGGAAACAGGUUAAUAUUCCUGUACUUGGUGUUACUGCGAAGGGGGGACGGAGAAGGCUAUGUUAGCCGGGCGACGGUUGUCCCGGUUUAAGCAUGUAGGCGGAGGUUCCAGGUAAAUCCGGUACCUUUUAACGCUGAGGUGUGAUGACGAGGCACUACGGUGCUGAAGUAACAAAUGCCCUGCUUCCAGGAAAAGCCUCUAAGCAUCAGGUAACAUUAAAUCGUACCCCAAACCGACACAGGUGGUCAGGUAGAGAAUACCAAGGCGCUUGAGAGAACUCGGGUGAAGGAACUAGGCAAAAUGGUGCCGUAACUUCGGGAGAAGGCACGCUGGUGUGUAGGUGAAGUCCCUGCGGACGGAGCUGAGACCAGUCGAAGAUACCAGCUGGCUGCAACUGUUUAUUAAAAACACAGCACUGUGCAAACACGAAAGUGGACGUAUACGGUGUGACGCCUGCCCGGUGCCGGAAGGUUAAUUGAUGGGGUUAUCCGUAAGGAGAAGCUCUUGAUCGAAGCCCCGGUAAACGGCGGCCGUAACUAUAACGGUCCUAAGGUAGCGAAAUUCCUUGUCGGGUAAGUUCCGACCUGCACGAAUGGCGUAAUGAUGGCCAGGCUGUCUCCACCCGAGACUCAGUGAAAUUGAACUCGCUGUGAAGAUGCAGUGUACCCGCGGCAAGACGGAAAGACCCCGUGAACCUUUACUAUAGCUUGACACUGAACAUUGAGCCUUGAUGUGUAGGAUAGGUGGGAGGCUUUGAAGCGUGGACGCCAGUCUGCGUGGAGCCAACCUUGAAAUACCACCCUUUAAUGUUUGAUGUUCUAACGUUGGCCCCUUAUCGGGGUUGCGGACAGUGUCUGGUGGGUAGUUUGACUGGGGCGGUCUCCUCCCAAAGAGUAACGGAGGAGCACGAAGGUUAGCUAAUCCUGGUCGGACAUCAGGAGGUUAGUGCAAUGGCAUAAGCUAGCUUGACUGCGAGCGUGACGGCGCGAGCAGGUGCGAAAGCAGGUCAUAGUGAUCCGGUGGUUCUGAAUGGAAGGGCCAUCGCUCAACGGAUAAAAGGUACUCCGGGGAUAACAGGCUGAUACCGCCCAAGAGUUCAUAUCGACGGCGGUGUUUGGCACCUCGAUGUCGGCUCAUCACAUCCUGGGGCUGAAGUAGGUCCCAAGGGUAUGGCUGUUCGCCAUUUAAAGUGGUACGCGAGCUGGGUUUAGAACGUCGUGAGACAGUUCGGUCCCUAUCUGCCGUGGGCGCUGGAGAAUUGAGGGGGGCUGCUCCUAGUACGAGAGGACCGGAGUGGACGCAUCACUGGUGUUCGGGUUGUCAUGCCAAUGGCACUGCCCGGUAGCUAAAUGCGGAAGAGAUAAGUGCUGAAAGCAUCUAAGCACGAAACUUGCCCCGAGAUGAGUUCUCCCUGAGACUAUAAGUCUCCUGAAGGAACGUUGAAGACGACGACGUUGAUAGGCCGGGUGUGUAAGCGCAGCGAUGCGUUGAGCUAACCGGUACUAAUGAACCGUGAGGCUUAACCUU
rnacentral:rRNA from 1 species